GCUUUGCAUUAAGUAAGUGCCCUUAAUCAGCUUUUCUGUUCAGUUUUAUUGGUUGCAUGCACAGUCAGUUAUUUCAUCCAGAAAAUCUGAAAGCCCUACAAACUAACCAGGUGAAAAGCAAACCAGCCUAAGUGCCCACUAACAAGAAAAUGGACAAAGAAAACAUGGCGGAGUAUCACAAUGGAAUAUUAUUCAAGUAUAAUGAGAAUGAAAUACUGUCAUUUGUAGCAAAAUGGAUAGAACUAUAGGACAUCAUGUUGAACCAGUGUCUCCAGAGCUCCCAGGGACUAAACCACCAACCA